ensembl:ncRNA C39F7.8 ncRNA
AUACUUUUUGUGCAGAGAUUAUAAUGGAAAUCUAGAGGGACAUGACUACCCUAAUUUGGUUGUGCAUUUCAUCUUUAGUUGCUUACGGAUUAGGCUUCGGCUUAGGCUUGGGCUUAGGCUUUGGCUUAGGCUUAGGCUUAGGCUUAGGC